GCUGUAUCGAUUGUUGAGAUCUGGCGACUUGUUUAAAUUUCAUCAGCCUCACUUCUAUGAACUCUCAGGCCUCAUGUGUACCAGCUCUCUGCUCUCCUUUGCCUUGGGACGUUCCAUCCCUGGAAGUUUCCCUGCCCACAUCUUUGUAGAGAGUCCAUUCUCCAAGCUUCAGUGUGUCAUCUGUGAGGACUGUGACCAACCUGGUACAUCGCCUCAGGGCAUUCAUUUCAGGCUCCUUCUAAAUGGUCAAGUCUUCUGUCAGCCUAACAAGCAUAGCAAGAAGAUAUAGCCCCACAACCACUUUAUGCACAAAGUUAGAAGCAUAAAAUCUCAUGGAAAGAGACCGAUUAUCCACAGAAGAGGUUGUCUUGCCAUUUCUCUCAUGUUAGAGGUAAACCUCAGGUUCUCCUCCUGCCUUUUGCUAAGUAUAUGUCUUGAUGACAAGCCUUCUGCUGAUGAGCUGUGUUUCUGGACCGAUCAUGGUAGAAGUCAAUUAACGUGUCCCUCACUUGGGGUUUCUCAAGGUCAUCUAUGAACUGACUCUGUCUCAAAAAAAAAAAAGAAAAAAAAGAAAAGAAAGAACGAAAAAAAAAAACUAGGACAUGGCUAACAGGAAUGGGGACAAAGAAUCUGCACUGAUGAGGAAACUGAAACAGAAAAUCCAGAGUAAAUUCCACCAGGCCACACAGCAAGGUCUGAUAGAGCCAGGAGAGACUUUAUGAAAUCCAGACUCUCACACUAAUGCUCUAUCAGCUAGACCUCCAUGUGAGUCUCCCCAAUGUAGGUAGGAAGUGCUUUCCC
rnacentral:lncRNA from 1 species